rnacentral:rRNA from 1 species
UACGUAGGGACCAAGCGUUGUUCGGAUUUACUGGGCGUAAAGCGCACGUAGGCGGAUUGCUAAGUCAGGGGUGAAAUCCUGGAGCUCAACUCCAGAACUGCCUUUGAUACUGGCGACCUUGAGUCCGGGAGAGGUGAGUGGAACUGCGAGUGUAGAGGUGAAAUUCGUAGAUAUUCGCAAGAACACCAGUGGCGAAGGCGGCUCACUGGCCCGGUACUGACGCUGAGGUGCGAAAGCGUGGGGAGCAAACAGG